UGGCCAGUGAUGAGAUGAAACGUGAGUUGUGCAGCCACUCCACUGAAACCAAAUGAAGCGCAGGGAUUAGUCCUUCUGAGGCCA
rfam:Oryza nivara chromosome 10, whole genome shotgun sequence.